UACGGAAAGCAGCAGUGGGGAAUAUUGCACAAUGGGCGAAAGCCUGAUGCAGCUAUGCCGCGUGUAUGAAGAAGGCCUUAGGGUUGUAAAGUACUUUCAUCGGGGAGGAAAAAACAAAACUAAUAAUUUUAUUUCUUGACGUUACCCGAAAAAGAAGCACCGGCUAACUCCGUGCCAGCAGCCGCGGUAAUACGGAGGGUGCUAGCGUUAAUCAGAAUUACUGGGCGUAAAGAGCACGUAGGUGGUUUUUUUAAAGUCAGAUGUGAAAUCCCUGGGCUUUAACCUGGAACUGCAUUUUGAAACUGAAAUACUAGAGUAUCGUAGAGGGAGGUAGAAUUCUAGGUGUAGCGGUGAAAUGCGUAGAUAUCUGGAGGAAUACCUGUGGCGAAAGCGGCCUCCUAAACGAAUACUGACACUGAGGGUGCGAAAGCGUGGGGAGCAAACAGGGAUUAGAUAC
rnacentral:rRNA from 1 species